UACGUAGGUGGCAAGCGUUGUCCGGAUUUAUUGGGCGUAAAGCGCGCGCAGGCGGUGCGUUAAGUCCGAGGUGAAAUCUCCCGGCUCAACUGGGAGGGGUCUUCGGAUACUGGCGGACUUGAGGAGAGCAGAGGUGAGUGGAAUUCUCGGUGUAGUGGUGAAAUGCGUAGAUAUCGAGAGGAACACCAGCGGCGAAGGCGGCUCACUGGGCUCCACCUGACGCUGAGGCGCGAAAGCGUGGGGAGCGAACCGU
rnacentral:rRNA from 1 species